AAUGGCAAGCCCUGGAAAACUUUAUCAUUUUUUUCCGUGUCAUUCCAAGUCAAAGAGGGCCUCUCUUAUAUCUUGUUUGCUUUCAAAUCCUAAAAUACUAUUUCCCAAUUAAUUUUAUUCUCCUCUCUUCCCUCUCAUUCUUUAACUCCUCUAACUCUUGUUUAAAAAAAAAAAAAUUGGAGAAGGAAGGGAAAAAGAAAAUAAAAAGACUUACUAUGCCAAGGACAGAUUUUGAAACAGACAAAUGUUUUCCUUAGUUCCUUUAUGCACAUGCUGGUGAUAGAAUAAAUACAUCCAAUUAAAGCUCACACAUGGGGUGGGGGAGAAGAGGCUACUGAUACCUUUGUGAAAUGUAUGAAUGCACUUCUGUAACCAGAUACUUCUGUUCUUCUGAUCAAAUCUUGGGAUUUUGUUACAGUCAUUGGGAUGCAGAUGAAGAUUUAGGGGUGAAAGAACCUAGCAGAGUAUUUAUUAAACUACAGUAUUAUACAAUCAGCUUAGUAAUACUGUGGAAUCAGCUAAAACUGUAUCACAUUUCUUAAAUGAGCCAAAACAUGAAUUGAAUAUGUGGUCACAUGAAAAUAACUGUGAAUAAAGCACGAGGAAUCAAUAGAAAGCCCAGAUGAUUUUCAAAAUCCACACCGUUUCUUUUUCUCAAAGGACUCUUUAUACAUCCAUGUAAAUCUAGAUCUUUGGAGCAAUUAAAAUGGAAUUAAAAAUUUUAGGAAGCAUCAUAAUAUGGGUCUUGUAAUUAAAAGUUAAAAAGUUCUAAACCGCAUGUGACCGUGUUUCUAAAAGGAGAAAGAAGGCAGAAAAUAUACAGCUCAUCGGAAGUUAAGUUUAGGGAAAAUGUUUUGGCUUUUUCAUAAUUUUAUCUUACACUAUAGAAUUAUUAAUACCAGAAUAUUUAUAUGUGUUUUGGCUUACUGGUAUUUGUAGUUACUAAGGGGAAAAUGUGUUUUGAUUACUUAUGCAUCUAAAGAGCUUAAUUCCUUUAGAAAUGCAACAAUCAUUUUCACCAGCAUAAUUUUUUCUUAAAGGGUAACUAAUAGGAAAAUUAAGCUUAAUUCUUUAAGGCCCUAAUUUCUACACACAAAAUAUUGGAUAGUAAUGAAAAUCUGCCAUGGAAUUAGUUAAUAAAUAAUAACAAUAAGCUUCACAUUUAGAAUGUGAAUUCUAUAAAAAAACAAAAUCUUGCAUCAUCCUCAAUAUUAACUCCAAUAUAAAAUUUGUUAUUCUCUUUUUAAAUUUUGAAACUGCAUAUUAUUUACUUUAAAUCAAUAGAUUGCAAAUAAGUACUUUGACCUGAGUCUGAUUUUUCUAAUAAUGUUUAAAAGAGAUUGCCUACUAAAAAAUAUUAAACCAAAAAAAAAAAAAAAAAAAAAUUUCUCCAUAUACCAUACUCCCAUAAGAAAUUUUAAGAAAAUCAAGCAUGCUGUCUUGAGGGAUUUUUAUACUUCUUUUUCCUUCUUUCUUAAUAUUUGCUUCUAGCUGCUCCUGGCAAUGAUGAAUUGUUACAUAUAUAGUAAUGUUUCUCAGUCCGAGAAUUGUUCACAUUUUUCCUAUAUAAGAUCUAUGGAGUGUGUUUUUCAAAAAGAGAGAAAUGCCGAAAAUGUUAAAGCAGGAAAACCUGAAUGUGAUGUGCACAUUUUCAUCCCUCAUGGACAAUGUAUUUGUUUUAAUAAAUGGAAUUUUCAGAUUCA